UACAGAGGUCCCAAGCGUUGUUCGGAUUCACUGGGCGUAAAGGGCGCGUAGGCGGGAUGGCAAGUCAGUCGUGAAAUCUCUCGGCUCAACCGAGAAACGUCGGCUGAUACUGCCGUUCUUGAGGGAUGCAGAGGAGACUGGAAUUCCCCGGUGUAGCGGUGAAAUGUGUAGAGAUCGGGAGGAACACCGGUGGCGAAGGCGGGUCUCUGGGCAUCUCCUGACGCUGAGGCGCGAAAGCGUGGGGAGCAAACGGG
rnacentral:rRNA from 1 species